AGUCGAGGGGCAGCAUUUCAGUUUGCUUGCAAACUGGAGAUGGCGACCGGCGCACGGGUGAGUAACACGUAUCCAACCUGCCGAUAACUCGGGGAUAGCCUUUCGAAAGAAAGAUUAAUACCCGAUGGNAUAAUCAGACCGCAUGGUCUUAUUAUUAAAGAAUUUCGGUUAUCGAUGGGGAUGCGUUCCAUUAGGCAGUUGGUGAGGUAACGGCUCACCAAACCUUCGAUGGAUAGGGGUUCUGAGAGGAAGGUCCCCCACAUUGGAACUGAGACACGGUCCAAACUCCUACGGGAGGCAGCAGUGAGGAAUAUUGGUCAAUGGGCGCAGGCCUGAACCAGCCAAGUAGCGUGAAGGAUGACUGCCCUAUGGGUUGUAAACUUCUUUUAUAUGGGAAUAAAGUUUUCCACGUGUGGAAUUUUGUAUGUACCAUAUGAAUAAGGAUCGGCUAACUCCGUGCCAGCAGCCGCGGUAAUACGGAGGAUCCGAGCGUUAUCCGGAUUUAUUGGGUUUAAAGGGAGCGUAGGUGGACAGUUAAGUCAGUUGUGAAAGUUUGCGGCUCAACCGUAAAAUUGCAGUUGAUACUGGCUGUCUUGAGUACAGUAGAGGUGGGCGGAAUUCGUGGUGUAGCGGUGAAAAUGCUUAGAUAUCACGAAGAACUCCGAUUGCGAAGGCAGCUCACUGGACUGCAACUGACACUGAUGCUCGAAAGUGUGGGUAUCAAACAGGAUUAGAUACCCUGGUAGUCCACACAGUAAACGAUGAAUACUCGCUGUUUGCGAUAUACAGUAAGCGGCCAAGCGAAAGCAUUAAGUAUUCCACCUGGGGAGUACGCCGGCAACGGUGAAACUCAAAGGAAUUGACGGGGGCCCGCACAAGCGGAGGAACAUGUGGUUUAAUUCGAUGAUACGCGAGGAACCUUACCCGGGCUUAAAUUGCAUUUGAAUANUUUGGAAACAGNUUAGCCGNAAGGCAAAUGUGAAGGUGCUGCAUGGUUGUCGUCAGCUCGUGCCGUGAGGUGUCGGCUUAAGUGCCAUAACGAGCGCAACCCUUAUCUUUAGUUACUAACAGGUCAUGCUGAGGACUCUAGAGAGACUGCCGUCGUAAGAUGUGAGGAAGGUGGGGAUGACGUCAAAUCAGCACGGCCCUUACGUCCGGGGCUACACACGUGUUACAAUGGGGGGUACAGAAGGCAGCUACCUGGUGACAGGAUGCUAAUCCCAAAAGCCUCUCUCAGUUCGGAUCGAAGUCUGCAACCCGACUUCGUGAAGCUGGAUUCGCUAGUAAUCGCGCAUCAGCCAUGGCGCGGUGAAUACGUUCCCGGGCCUUGUACACCACNNCCCGUCAAGCCAUGAAAGCCGGGGGUACCUGAAGUACGUAACCGCAAGGAGCUCCUAGG
rnacentral:rRNA from 1 species